rnacentral:rRNA from 1 species
GACGAACGCUGGCGGCGUGCUUAACACAUGCAAGUGGAGCGACGAACCAGGGCUUGCCCUGGGGCAAAGCCGCGAGCGGGUGAGUAACACGUGGGUAACCUACCCCAAUGAUCGGGACAACCCGGGGAAACUCGGGCUAAUACCGAAUGUGCUUCAGGUUCAUGAGGACUUGAAGUAAAGAUAGCUUCGGCCUUCGCAUUGGGAUGGGCCCGCGGCCCAUUAGCUUGUUGGUGAGGUACGGCUCACCAAGGCGAAGAUGGGUAGCUGGUCUGGGAGGACGAUGUGCCACACUGGGACUGGGACACGACCCAGACUCCUACGGGAGGCAGCAGUGGGGAAUCUUGCGCAAUGCGCGAAAGCGUGACGCAGCAACGCCGCGUGGGGGAAGAAGGCCUUCGGGUUGUAAACCCCUUUCAGUUGGGACGAAGCUUCGCCGGUGAAUAGCCGGCUGGAGUGACGGUACCUUCACAAGAAGCCCCGGCUAACUACGUGCCAGCCGCCGCGGUAACAC